rnacentral:rRNA from 1 species
AUUGGAGGGCAAGUCUKGUGCCAGCAGCCGCGGUAAUUCCAGCUCCAAUAGCGUAUAUUAAAGUUGUUGCGGUUAAAAAGCUCGUAGUUGGAGGUCAGUUGCGGACUGGUGGUGGAGGUCACCGCCCGGUGCUUCCCCGCCAGGCUCCGAACAGCUUCCGUGAGUGGAAGCCAAGCCGGUGUUGCGGGGUGCUCUUGACCGAGUGUCCCGCGUGGCCGGCCAGUUCACCUUGAAUAAAUGAGAGUGCUCAAAGCAGGCUACUCUGGAAUACAAUGCCCGAAUGUUACCUGCAUGGAAUGAUGGAAGAUGAUCUCGGUUCCAUUUUGUCGGUGGUGGGAGCCAGAGGUAAUGAUAAAGAGGGACUGUCGGGGGCAUCCGUACUACGACGCGAGAGGUGAAAUUCAGUGACCGUCGUAGGACGAACAACAGCGAAAGCAUUUGCCAAGAAUGUCUUCGUUGAUCAAGAACGAAAGUUAGAGGAUCGAAGGCGAUCAGAUACCGCCCUAGUUCUAACCCUAAACGAUGCUGACUAGCAAUUCGCCUAUGUUAUUCCCAUGACGUGGCGAGACGCCCCCGGGAAACCUCAAGUGUUUGAGUUCCGGGGGUAGUAUGGUUGCAAAAGUGAAACUUAAAGGAAUUGACGGAAGGGCACCACCAUGAGUG